rnacentral:lncRNA from 1 species
GCGAACAAGGCCCUGCCGCCGGUUUCCUACGAUCUGUUUGAUGUGAAACAGUAUCAAGGGGAGACCCUAAAGGAAUACAUCAACCGCUUCGGGGCCCAGGUGGUGAAAGUUGGUACGUCGGAGGAGCCCAUGAUUGUGUAUGCCUUCAGGAAAGGCGUGUGUCCCGGCCCUUUUUGCGAAUCUAUUAUUCACAAUCGCCCAAGGACUUUUGCUGAAAUUCGGCGUCGGGCGGUGGAACAUAUCGCCUCCGAAGGAGAAGUGUGUGAGAAGCGAACCAGCGUAGUGCCCUC